rnacentral:rRNA from 1 species
GAAUUUUAUAUAAAUUAUUUAAAGUUUGGAUUAAAUUUAUAAAUAAUUUUAUAUUUAGUUGGGAGGAUUAUUAAAUAAUAAAAACUUUAAUAUAUUUAAAACUUAAAUUAAAGAAUUAGAUAAAAGAGUUAUAUAAUUAUUAUAUUAGAUUAAAUUACCUUAGGGAUAACAGCGUUAUAUUUUUAGAAAGAUCAUAUUAAUAAAAAUAAUUGC